GACGUAGGGGGCCAGCGUUGUUCGGAAUUACUGGGUGUAAAGGGUUCGUAGGCGGUGCGGCAAGUUGGGAGUGAAAUCUCUGGGCUUAACCCAGAGGCUGCUUCCAAAACUGCUGUGCUUGAGUGUGGGAGAGGCGCGUGGAAUUGCAGGUGUAGCGGUGAAAUGCGUAGAUAUCUGCAGGAACACCCGUGGCGAAGGCGGUUCUCUGGGACGGUACUGACGCUGAGACGCGAAAGCGUGGGGAGCGAACAGG
rnacentral:rRNA from 1 species